rnacentral:lncRNA from 1 species
CCUUGCACAAAUAAAAAGGCUUUUCAUACUAAUCUGUUGUUUUUAGUAGCAAACGUAAGUCAUUGGUUAUUUCAGAAGAUUUAAGCAGAUACUGGUUCGUAUAGGUAUGAAAGCCAAGGGUGCUUGAGAGCCUCUGAUGCAGAAAGAUGCUUUAUUGGGUUUAUCUCUAGAAGAUGACCUACAAAGUCUGUGAAUCCUUGGUCUCCCAUUGGUAGCCUAUGUUUCAGUGACGUUCUUUUAGGUAUCAGGUACAGAAAGAGUGUUCUUAUUAGCAGCAUAUAUGCUUCUCCCAUUCAACACUAAGAGCUGCAGAAGUUAGAAACAAAUCACGUAAGUCAUCACUCAUCAAUUAUCAGAUACACAAACCAUGUUAAGCAAUGAACCAUUAAACAUAUUACUAGCUAAAGCAAACAAACAACAAGAAAACCCAU